AUGAGUUUUGUUGCAAAUAGUCCACGGUUGGCCGUAAAAAUAUGUAAACACGUUGUAAUGAUAAAUUUAAGUUUUCGUGCAGUAUGCAACCAAAAGUGUCUUUUAAGUCAUUUUCGAACACAUGAAUACACCACACAAAGUGAGCUGCACAUGGAUGUGGUCAAGGAAUGUCUACCUUACUAUAGUGGAUGGAGCAGGAUAGUCAAUUUAAAAUCGAACAGGAUCAACUAUCACCUCCCGCCCACCAUCUUCAUCUACAACAAGAGCCACAUAGAAACAACAAAACUUCAAAGUUGAUAAAAUUAAGAUUUCCAAAGAUUGGCGCAGACCGGCAGACGUAGAAUUUCGAAUUCGUCGAAUUUUGGCGCAGACGUCGAACUUUCUUCCCCGGGUCCAAUUAUCAUGCCGAUUGAUCGACUGAGAUCGUUUUUUUCUAUUUUCAUGAGAUCCUCAUUUAUAGGGACGGGUUUACGUGUUUCCCACCAACAUGCCGACUGCAGAAAAGGUAUAAGAGAUCUCUUCGUUUUUAUAGUGAUAGUCUAUGUUAAAGCUUGGUUUCAAGCACAUUUGCCCAUAAUUAUUCUUUUAUAUUUGUCACCAGCACCAGGACGCCAAGGCACAUCGCAUCAUGCGCUACAUCGCUGUCACCAAGACUCCUAGCGUCUGUUGGUGACCACCUAAUAAUCACGCGACAUCAUGAUUUGCAGAUCAUGAGAACUCUUCUGGAGUACGAAUAGGUUGACUUUGACAUGGCAAGAGCAGCGCAGCUCAAGUUCAUAAAUCAUCUAUGGUACCUAACCCCUGAGUGCGCUGCUUUAUCAUUUUUCGACGAUAAAGUUUCAUAUGAAAUUCAACUCAAAAUGGUAGAUGCUUUAUCACGAUAAGGCACUUUUGACGAUGUAAAGAGAGUCGUACUCACAAAUUUUAGUGAGAUUGAAAAUAGGGAAGUUUUUGAUUUUGUAUCUAAGGGGACUAACAAUUCUUUUAAAAGGUUAGCGCUUCCUAAAAGUUUUCUUAGAGUGCAUCCAAAAACCUGGUCCAAAAUUAAGAUUUAUCAAAAAAGUCUUGAAGUAGUCAAGAAAAUUAAAUGUGUCAACAAUGUUGCCGAACGAGCUAUUACACUCAUUUCUGAUUAUCAUGAAAAACUUACUAUG
rnacentral:lncRNA from 1 species